GGUUCAUUCAAAUUUCUGCCCUAUCAACUUUCGACGGCUGGGUCUUGGCCAGCCGUGGUGACAACGGGUAACGGAGGGUUAGGGCUCGACCCCGGAGAAGGGGCCUGAGAAACGGCUACUACAUCCAAGGAAGGCAGCAGGCGCGCAAAUUACCCAAUCCCGACCGGGGAGGUAGUGACAAUAAAUACUGAUACAGGGCUCUUUCGGGUCUUGUAAUUGGAAUGAGUACAAUUUAAAUCCCUUAACGAGGAACAAUUGAAGGGCAAGUCUGGUGCCAGCAGCCGCGGUAAUUCCAGCUCCAAUAGCGUAUAUUAAAGUUGUGAGGUUAAAAAGCUCGUAGUUG
rnacentral:rRNA from 1 species